AAAAGAAUAGAUUUGCCGUAGACAGUGGGUGUUGUACGACUUAAUUUCCCACCGAGGUUGCGAUAUACGUGAUACUUGCGUCCUCCUUGUCUAUGAUAGGGAGGACUUUUAUUUUU
rnacentral:sRNA from 1 species